rnacentral:lncRNA from 1 species
UCAGUGGGUUCCUGGCUCAUCUGUUGUUGCAGUGCCAGAAGUGAGCUGCAGAACAGGAGUUACUGGAGAUGACAGUGACCGUGAGUCCUGAAGAAGGAAUAUUGAUCUCAGCGUUACUUUGACCGUUAAUGAAUUAUGAUGGCAAUAAGCAGAGACGCACACCUCCAGCCUCCUGGGAGCUAAAUCUUCUGCUACAGCGUUUGUGUUUCCAUAAACCUUCUCUCCCUCUGCCACUG